UUUGCAGGCAUCUUCCACCUUAGAGGGAUAGUCCCCUCAGGAUUUCCAAGGAUUCAAGCUGUAUUUGGGGGUGUUGCCCCAAACCAAAACUGCUGCAGCAAUUUGAACUACUGUAGAUAUUAUCACUGAAGAAUCUCCACAAUGAGGAACAGGUCACUGUGCUGGGAACAUCUGGCCUUACAGUUCUCUUUGAUGCUAGGCUCUGAGCUGGCAGCUGCCUCCAUGAAAACUGGUGGUUGUGAAAGCAGUGAGGAAGGAAGAGACCCUGUGCAUCUGUCAGAAGGAGUCUUGAGCCUCCAGAGGACUUUUGCACUGGGAACUGAAUUUCUUCUGGCAUGGUCAGACUCAGAAGAUAGUAGAUCCCUGGAGUAGUGAGCUUUGUGGGGUUUUCAGUGGAAGAUCAUAGCAUAUAAUGAGAUUAUGAGCACUCAGAAGCUUGGUGUUGAGCCUGUUCCUGAUACCAUGGCAACACGACAAUAAAGUCCCCUGCAAUA